rnacentral:lncRNA from 1 species
AAGUAGUUAAUGGAUUUGAGUUAUAGCUCGGCAAAUUCCACAAAGAAAAUAAAACAGCACAAGGUCCCCACAGAGUGACGGGACGCAGGAAAGGGGAAGUCCAUGCCACCCGAGGAAUAGUUUCAUUGAACGCUUGAUCUUUGAGCCGAAGGCUGAUUAAACUUGAUGGGUUCUGGAGAUGCCGAGGAAGAGAGGCAGCAUCACCUACUUGCCUGGACUCUAGAUGGGCAGCUGAUCAUCUUGGACAGACUGCUGGAUGCUGUACCCAGGAUGGUCACUCCCAGACACCAUAGAAAAUGGUAUGUGUCCUCCCUU